UAAGACGAACCGUGCGAACGUUGUUCGGAAUCACUGGGCUUAAAGGGCGCGUAGGCGGGUGUCCGAGUCAGGGGUGAAAGCCCCCGGCCCAACCGGGGAAGUGCCCCUGAUACCGGGCGUCUGGAGGGAGGUAGGGGUCGCCGGAACUUCCGGUGGAGCGGUGAAAUGCGUAGAUAUCGGAAGGAACGCCGGUGGCGAAAGCGGGCGACUGGACCUCUUCUGACGCUGAGGCGCGAAAGCCAGGGGAGCGAACGGGAUUAGAUACCCCGGUAGUCCUGGCCCUAAACGAUGGGUACUAGGCCGCGGGCUUGACAUGGGCUCGCGGCCGGAGAAAAAUUAUUAAGUACCCCGCCUGGGGAGUAUGGUCGCAAGGCUG
rnacentral:rRNA from 1 species